ACUGAACGCUGGCGGCAGGCUUAACACAUGCAAGUCGAGCGGGGUGAUGGUGCUUGCACUAUCACUUAGCGGCGGACGGGUGAGUAAUGCUUAGGAAUCUGCCUAUUAGUGGGGGACAACAUCUCGAAAGGGAUGCUAAUACCGCAUACGACCUACGGGAGAAAGCAGGGGAUCUUUAUGACCUUGCGCUAAUAGAUGAGCCUAAGUCGGAUUAGCUAGUUGGUGGGGUAAAGGCCUACCAAGGCGACGAUCUGUAGCGGGUCUGAGAGGAUGAUCCGCCACACUGGGACUGAGACACGGCCCAGACUCCUACGGGAGGCAGCAGUGGGGAAUAUUGGACAAUGGGGGGAACCCUGAUCCAGCCAUGCCGCGUGUGUGAAGAAGGCCUUAUAGUUGUAAAGCACUUUAAGCGAGGAGGAGGCUCUUUUGGUUAAUACCCAAGAUGAGUGGACGUUACUCGCAGAAUAAGCACCGGCUAACUCUGUGCCAGCCGCCGCGGUAA
rnacentral:rRNA from 1 species